rnacentral:rRNA from 1 species
AUUGAACGCUGGCGGCAGGCUUAACACAUGCAAGUCGAGCGGAGAUGAGGUGCUUGCACCUUAUCUUAGCGGCGGACGGGUGAGUAAUGCUUAGGAAUCUGCCUAUUAGUGGGGGACAACAUUCCGAAAGGAAUGCUAAUACCGCAUACGCCCUACGGGGGAAAGCAGGGGAUCUUCGGACCUUGCGCUAAUAGAUGAGCCUAAGUCGGAUUAGCUAGUUGGCGGGGUAAAGGCCUACCAAGGCGACGUUCUGUAGCGGGUCUGAGAGGAUGAUCCGCCACACUGGGACUGAGACACGGCGCGGACUCCUACGGGAGGCAGCAGUGGGGAAUAUUGGACAAUGGGCGGAAGCCUGAUCCAGCCAUGCCGCGUGUGUGAAGAAGGCCUUUUGGUUGUAAAGCACUUUAAGCGAGGAGGAGGCUACCUGGAUUAAUACUCUAGGUUAGUGGACGUUACUCGCAGAAUAAGCACCGGCUAACUCCGUGCCAGCCGCCGCCGUAAUAC